UAGCCAGGAGAAUUGAAACUGCCUCAUCGACACAGUGCACCCAUCUGCGCAGCACAUGGACGGGGGAAGAAGACAUGUUUGGAUGUCUUUGAGUGGUGUCCCACAAUGGAGAUCAGAUUGUGUUUCUCAUGCAUGACCCAGAAGCAGCUGGAAGCAGGGAGAGGCCCAGCUGCUCCCCUGGUACUGCUAACGGCACAACCAGGGCCAGGUCCCCACCUCCCGCUGCAGCAGAUGCAGAGCACCUGGGGGUUGGCCCCUAAAAACAGCCACCAUGGUACCCACAGAGCCAUCCCUGCCUCCUCAGCCCCUGUGGCUGCUUCUGAAGCCUGCCAGAGUGUAAGGGUUCAGUGUGCCCUGCAGGACCAAUGUUGCUUCUCUGCAAAGUUUUUUCUAUAGAUAUAGCAGGCAGUCCUAGAUCUCUGGAAGCCUUUUUUUUUUUUUCCCCCAACAGAAAUUAUUUCUCUGUAUGGGCUCCUGCUUCUGGCUGAGAGCAACAGCUGAACUCUGGACAAUAGUGAAUAUCUCCCAGGUAGAUGUGUAAUGUUGAAUGUGGAACUGGGGAGUUGGCUUUAGUCCUCACCUGUGGCAUGAGGAUUACUGUGAGAGUACACAAAGAGGGGAAGAGUACAUUUGGACCAAAACAAAUCUGAUACGGAGUCAUAAAGGUUUGGGAUAUUCAUUGGGUUUGAGGACACUUUAAAUGAUUAUACUUAUGAUAAGAGUGAUAUAGCUGGGGAGAGCUACCAUGGUUAUCAUCAGUUUCCUUUCUCCUGUAUGCUCAACAUUUUUUGUGUUUUUUUUUUUUUUUUUUUUUUGUCUUAAAUACAUGCAUCUGAUAACUUGAAGUAAUUGUUAUUCAUAGUGUGAACCUCAAAAUUUCUGUCCAGUUUAACUCCAUCGGUGCUACCCAUCACACUCUCCAAAGAUAUCCAAUAUUUCUUUCCAUGAGAACACCUUGGAGCAGAAUAGAUUUAAGUAGUGUGUUGGUGGAGAAAAUUAGGUUGGGAUACCUGGUAUGGGGUUGCCAAAUGCUGUGAAUCACUAACUGGAAGAAGCAGUAUGAGAUGUCCUUGAGAACUUCAAGGAAGCAAAGACCACCUGUCUUCAUGCCAAUAAUCCUGUCUGAGAAAAAUGAUGCUGGAGUUAAAAUUGUACGUGACACUUUCAUUCUUGGUCUUCCUCUUCACCCCUCAAAUUUCUGCUGCUGUAUAUUAAGUAUCCCCCUUGUGAAGUUAAAGUAGCUCAUAAAAGUGUUAAGUAAAAAGUCAAAACUUACAUGGGAACUGUUACAUUUUCUCUGUGUGGCCAUAAUGAGGUUAUUUAUGGUACAUGUAGGAAAGAUUAAAGGUUUUCAUAAUAAAGGAAAGCAAGAGCUCAAGAAUUGGGUGCCUCCUAACAGCACUGACUCUCAAGACAGGAUAAAUCACCCAAGCAACCAUUAAAACUUCAAGAAGAUUGCUUGUAAA